rnacentral:rRNA from 2 species
UGCAAGUCGAACGAUGAAGCCCAGCUUGCUGGGUGGAUUAGUGGCGAACGGGUGAGUAACACGUGAGUAACCUGCCCUUAACUCUGGGAUAAGCCUGGGAAACUGGGUCUAAUACCGGAUAGGAGCGUCCACCGCAUGGUGGGUGUUGGAAAGAUUUAUCGGUUUUGGAUGGACUCGCGGCCUAUCAGCUUGUUGGUGAGGUAAUGGCUCACCAAGGCGACGACGGGUAGCCGGCCUGAGAGGGUGACCGGCCACACUGGGACUGAGACACGGCCCAGACUCCUACGGGAGGCAGCAGUGGGGAAUAUUGCACAAUGGGCGAAAGCCUGAUGCAGCGACGCCGCGUGAGGGAUGACGGCCUUCGGGUUGUAAACCUCUUUCAGUAGGGAAGAAGCGAAAGUGACGGUACCUGCAGAAGAAGCACCGGCUAACUACGUGCCAGCAGCCGCGGUAAUACGUAGGGUGCGAGCGUUAUCCGGAAUUAUUGGGCGUAAAGAGCUCGUAGGCGGUUUGUCGCGUCUGUCGUGAAAGUCCGGGGCUUAACCCCGGAUCUGCGGUGGGUACGGGCAGACUAGAGUGCAGUAGGGGAGACUGGAAUUCCUGGUGUAGCGGUGGAAUGCGCAGAUAUCAGGAGGAACACCGAUGGCGAAGGCAGGUCUCUGGGCUGUAACUGACGCUGAGGAGCGAAAGCAUGGGGAGCGAACAGGAUUAGAUACCCUGGUAGUCCAUGCCGUAAACGUUGGGCACUAGGUGUGGGGACCAUUCCACGGUUUCCGCGCCGCAGCUAACGCAUUAAGUGCCCCGCCUGGGGAGUACGGCCGCAAGGCUAAAACUCAAAGGAAUUGACGGGGGCCCGCACAAGCGGCGGAGCAUGCGGAUUAAUUCGAUGCAACGCGAAGAACCUUACCAAGGCUUGACAUGUUCUCGAUCGCCGUAGAGAUACGGUUUCCCCUUUGGGGCGGGUUCACAGGUGGUGCAUGGUUGUCGUCAGCUCGUGUCGUGAGAUGUUGGGUUAAGUCCCGCAACGAGCGCAACCCUCGUUCCAUGUUGCCAGCACGUAAUGGUGGGGACUCAUGGGAGACUGCCGGGGUCAACUC